GUAUACAACCUUGAUCGAUAGGUCUGGGUAAUCUUGUGAAUGCGCAUCGUGCUAGGGAUAGACUGUUGCAAUUUCAGUCUUGAACGAGGAAUUCCCUAGUAAACGCAAGUCAUCAGCUUGCAUUGAUUACGUCCCCUGCCCUUUGUACACACCCGCCCGUCGCACCUACCGAUUGAAUGACCUCGGUGAAAAAUUGGGACCGUGAGUCUGUUUGCUUUAUUGCGAGUGGAUUGAUGGGAACUUUUUUAAACCUCGCCAUUUAGAGGAAGGUGAAGUCGUAACAAGGUUUCCGUAGGUGAACCUGCGGAAGGAUCAUUA